UUAACACAUGCAAGUCGAGGGUAACGAGGGAGUAGCAAUACUCCGCUGACGACCGGCGCACGGGUGCGUAACGCGUAUGCAACCUACCUGUAACAGGGGUAUAACGGAGGGAAACUUCCACUAAUCCCCCAUAUUGUUGUGGAUUCGCAUGUUUCCACAACGAAAGCUUUCUGUGGUUACGGAUGGGCAUGCGUGACAUUAGCUAGUUGGUAAGGCAACGGCUUACCAAGGCGACGAUGUCUAGGGGAGCUGAGAGGCUUAUCCCCCACACUGGUACUGAGACACGGACCAGACUCCUACGGGAGGCAGCAGUGAGGAAUAUUGGUCAAUGGACGGAAGUCUGAACCAGCCAUGCCGCGUGGGAAGGAAGAAGGUCCUAUGGGUUGUAAACUCCUUUUGCUCCAGAGUAAUAAGGUCCCUGCGGGGGUCGAUGAGAGUAUGGGGCGAAUAAGCAUCGGCUAACUCCGUGCCAGCCGCUGC
rnacentral:rRNA from 1 species